CAGCAGCCACGGUAAUACGAAGGGUGCAAGCGUUAAUCGGAAUUACUGGGCGUAAAGCGUGCGUAGGCGGUUUGUUAAGUCUGUUGUGAAAUCCCCGGGCUCAACCUGGGAAUGGCAAUGGAUACUGGCAAGCUAGAGUGUGUCAGAGGAUGGUGGAAUUCCCGGUGUAGCGGUGAAAUGCGUAGAGAUCGGGAGGAACAUCAGUGGCGAAGGCGGCCAUCUGGGACAACACUGACGCUGAGGCACGAAAGCGUGGGGAGCAAACAGGAUUAGAUACCCGCGUAGUCCCUGUCUCUUAUAC
rnacentral:rRNA from 1 species